rnacentral:rRNA from 1 species
AGUGAACGCUGGCGGUAGGCCUAACACAUGCAAGUCGAACGGCAGCACAGUAAGAGCUUGCUCUUACGGGUGGCGAGUGGCGGACGGGUGAGGAAUACAUCGGAAUCUACUUUUUCUUGGGGGAUAACGUAGGGAAACUUACGCUAAUACCGCAUACGACCUACGGGUGAAAGCAGGGGAUCUUCGGACCUUGCGCGAUUGAAUGAGCCGAUGUCGGAUUAGCUAGUUGGCGGGGUAAAGGCCCACCAAGGCGACGAUCCGUAGCUGGUCUGAGAGGAUGAUAGGCCACACUGGAACUGAGAAACGGUCCAGACUCCUAGGGGAGGCAGCAGUGGGGAAUAUUGGACAAGGGGCGAAAGCCUGACCCAGCCAUACCGCGUGGGUGAAGAAGGCCUUCGGGUUGUAAAGCCCUUUUGUUGGGAAAGAAAAGAAGCAGGUUAAUACCCCGCUGUUCUGACGGUACCCAAAGAAUAAGCACCGGCUAACUUCGU